AACGCGAAGAACCUUACCUGGGCUUGAACUACUGGUAGUAAGUCUUUGGAAACAUGGACUGAUCCGCAAGGAAGCCAGCAGAGGUGCUGCAUGGUUGUCGUCAGCUCGUGUCGUGAGAUGUUGGGUUAAGUCCCGCAACGAGCGCAACCCCUAUCUCAUGUUGCUAAUCCCGCAAGGGAUGCACUUUUGAGAAACUGCCUUCGAUAAGAAGGAGGAAGGUGGGGACGACGUCAAAUCCUCAUGGCCCUUAUGUCCAGGGCUACACACGUGCUACAAUGGCCGGUACAACGGGAAGCAAUACCGUAAGGUGGAGCCAAACCCUGAAAGCCGGCCCCAGUUCAGAUCGUGGGCUGAAACUCGCCCACGUGAAGGCGGAAUCGCUAGUAAUCGCGAAUCAGCAGGUCGCGGUGAAUACGUUCCCGGGCCUUGUA
rnacentral:rRNA from 1 species